rnacentral:rRNA from 1 species
AUUGAACGCUGGCGGCAUGCCUUACACAUGCAAGUCGAACGGUAACAGGUUAAGCUGACGAGUGGCGAACGGGUGAGUAAUAUAUCGGAACGUGCCCAGUAGUGGGGGAUAGCCCGGCGAAAGCCGGAUUAAUACCGCAUACGACCUACGGGUGAAAGGGGGGGAUCGCAAGACCUCUCGCUAUUGGAGCGGCCGAUAUCAGAUUAGGUAGGUGGUGGGGUAAAGGCCUACCAAGCCUGCGAUCUGUAGUUGGUCUGAGAGGACGACCAGCCACACUGGGACUGAGAAACGGCCCAGACUCCUACGGGAGGCAGCAGUGGGGAAUUUUGGACAAUGGGCGCAAGCCUGAUCCAGCAAUGCCGCGUGCAGGAAGAAGGCCUUCGGGUUGUAAACUGCUUUUGUCAGGGAAGAAAUCCUCUGGGUUAAUACCUCGGGGGGAUGACGGUACCUGAAGAAUAAGCACCGGCUAACUACGUGCCAGCAGCCGCCGUAAGAC